GCGUAUAUUAAAGUUGUUGCAGUUAAAAAGCUCGUAGUUGAACCUUGGGCCUGGCUGGCCGGUCCGCCUCACCGCGUGCACUGGUCCGGCCGGGCCUUUCCCUCUGGGGAACCGCAUGCCCUUCACUGGGUGUGCUGGGGAACCAGGACUUUUACUUUGAAAAAAUUAGAGUGUUCAAAGCAGGCCUAUGCUCGAAUACAUUAGCAUGGAAUAAUAGAAUAGGACGUGUGGUUCUAUUUUGUUGGUUUCUAGGACCGCCGUAAUGAUUAAUAGGGACAGUCGGGGGCAUCAGUAUUCAAUUGUCAGAGGUGAAAUUCUUGGAUUUAUUGAAGACUAACUACUGCGAAAGCAUUUGCCAAGGAUGUUUUCAUUAAUCAGGAACGAAAGUUAGGGGAUCGAAGACGAUCAGAUACCGUCGUAGUCUUAACCAUAAACUAUGCCGACCAGGGAUCGGACGAUGUUAUUUUUUGACUCGUUCGGCACCUUACACGAAAGUACAAGUUUCUGGGUUCUGGGGGGAGUAUGGUCGCAAGGCUGAAACUUAAAGGAAUUGACGGAAGA
rnacentral:rRNA from 1 species